UGAGGAAUAUUGGGCAAUGGAGGCAACUCUGACCCAGCCAUGCCGCGUGAGUGAAGAAGGUUUUCGGAUUGUAAAGCUCUUUCGGGUGUGACGAUGAUGACGGUAGCACCUAAAGAAGCCCCGGCUAACUUCGUGCCAGCAGCCGCGGUAAUACGAAGGGGGCAAGCGUUGUUCGGAAUUACUGGGCGUAAAGGGAGUGUAGGCGGUUAUGUAAGAUAGUGGUGAAAUCCCAGAGCUUAACUUUGGAAUUGCCAUUAUGACUAUGUGGCUAGAAUUACAGAGAGGAUAGUGGAAUACCCAGUGUAGAGGUGAAAUUCGUAGAUAUUGGGUAGAACACCAGUGGCGAAGGCGACUAUCUGGCUGUAUAUUGACGCUGAGGCUCGAAAGCAUGGGGAUCAAACAGG
rnacentral:rRNA from 1 species